GGGGCCGCAAUGGUCUCGACGGGGGUUAUGAACCUCGCUAAGCACGCGGAGUGCGCCGCAAUCUCCUUAAUCGAGCGGCACUAAAUCUUAAACGCUAACGAUAGAAAUUUAGCAGUAGCUGCCUAAGGCGGCUUCCGUCCUCCCGGAGAGUACCGCGGCUUCGGUUUGGGCGUCAAUCAGCGGUCAACGUAUUAAGUGAGAGCCUUGCAGUUUAAUACGUAUCAAAGGGCUACCGAGCGCCGGGUUUGUUGUUUGUGCCGGCGUGAGGGAAUUUUAAACGAAUAACUAAGCGUGUAGAAAUGUGCGGGAAUUAGUUUUCGGACGCGAGUUCGAUUCUCGCCGGCUCCAGUC
rnacentral:tmRNA from 1 species